GCAGGUGUAGUUCAGUGGUAGAACACCAGACUUCCAAUCUGGCUACGAGGGUUCAAUUCCCUUCGCCUGCUCCA
rnacentral:tRNA from 1 species